rnacentral:ncRNA from 1 species
GUGAAAGCUAUGAAGGAGAGCGUAUUUUCUAAAAGCAGUUCCAGAGAGUCGGUGGUUGCUGUGAACCGAUACUGUAGGAUAAUACUACUCACUCCUGAGCGUCAUCUCUGAAAUUAGUUAGGAGAUAGAUGGUAAGCCCCAUUAUAGGCUAGGAUUUGAUAUAGAAUCUGAAAUGAGUGGUUUUUGCUCUAGCAAAGACAAAUAAGGUGGUACCACGGAGAAUUUAUCCCCGUCCUUAAA